AAAAGCAUGACCACAGUCAUCUGAAUCUAAUCCUAGUGUGAUAGAUGACCAUUACUACAUGGUUGAGGAAGAAAACCCAUUACAACUAUAGCAGAUGGACGGAGAGUUGUCAACCCAAAAGGACUGCAGUACUACAACAAUCUCAUCGAUGAACUUGUCCUCCAUGGUAAUAUCACCUUGAAACAAUAACUUGAUUCAUCAUUAGAAAUGAAUUUUGUUUUGCCUCGGUUAUAGAUCGAAGAAUCCUUGGAGGAGCUUGCACCUACUUGUUGUUUAUAGAUGCAGACUCAAGUAUUUAUCAUGUGUGUAUGUGUGAUAUAAGAUUGUUGUUUAUAGAUGUAGAUGUAUCCUUGACAAUCCGUUAUCUAUCUGCCUCUAAUCUAUUUUCCCUUUUAGAUUUUCUGAGUAUGGUUGAAACAUGAUUUCUCUAAAAGCAAUUCAGCUCACAUUUGGUUAUAUUACAUUUUCUAUGGACCUUAAUUCUGAUUAUUUUAUUUUAUUUUAUUUUAAAUGAACGUCCCUCAUCUAGCUCUCCCUCUCUAUGGUGCUUUUUUCUGAUUUUGUUGCCAAUUUUUCAUGGCGUGUUGGAGGUGAUCUCAAUGUAAUUCCUUCUUUUUUGUAAACUUGAGGCUGUAGAAUAACACUGGAUAAGGAAGUGGUGGCAAUGAUAAUGAUUUCAGCAUUAAAUGCAUUUGGACACAUGGAAUGAGUGACAAGUCAUAUUCCUUUUCUUUUUCAUGGUGUGUCUGCAGUGGUGGUAAUGGUGAUGAUUUCAACAUUAAACGCAUUUAGGCACAAGCACAUGGAAUGAGACACAGAUAUGUCCUCGAUUGCUUUUAUCGAGCCACUUCUAGUCAUUGAUUUUGUAACUCAACUCUUGAAUAAAGAUGUCUUAGCCAGACCAUUGUCUGAUGCUGAUCGAGUGAAGGUCUUGUUUUCUUUUGCUUCUUCUAUUUGGAUAUUGACAGCUUUCUUUUUUCUUUUUAGAUAAUUAUUUUGACAUAUUUCAAAGAACUCAAGUGGGUUUUUCUUUUCCUUUCCUUUUUUCCUUUCUUUCUGGAAGACGACUCUGAAAUGGCAUUUGGUUGUUUUUGUUUCUUUGAAUUUGGCUCUCCAAUGCUAGAAAACGGUAACUUUCA